GUGGAGAAGAUAGUGUUCAGCAAACAAGUGUUUAGCAAGAAUUUCCUCAAAAUCUAAAACAUCAUCUCUCCCAAGCAACAACCGCAACCCAUUAGGUCUGUCAUCUAAUUUCUCAGCUCCUUCUGUGGGUGCUUCCAGAGGCUCUCCUAGCUUUUCAACAGGCAAAUUAAUCUUAACAUUCUUUACCUCAAACUCAAAUGAAUUAGAUUUCAUCUCGGCAUUUUCAUAUAAUUUUCUCACUAGAUUAGGGUAAG
rnacentral:lncRNA from 1 species